UACGGAGGGGGCGAGCGUUAUUCGGAAUUAUUGGGCGUAAAGGGCGCGUAGCGGCUUGAUGUGUCAAAGGUGAAAUCCCUCGGCUCAACUGAGGAACUGCCUUUGAAACUGUCUGCUUGAGGCCGGGAGAGGGUAGCGGAAUUCCCAUGUAGCGGUGAAAGUGACGUAGAUAUGGGAGGAACACCGGUGGCGAAGGCGGCACCUGGACCGGUUCUGACGCUAUGCGCGAAAGCGUGGGUAGCAACAGGG
rnacentral:rRNA from 1 species